UACGUAGGGGGCAAGCGUUGUCCGGAUUUAUUGGGCGUAAAGAGCGUGUAGGCGGCCAUGCAGGUCCGUUGUGAAAACUCGAGGCUCAACCUCGAGACGCCGGUGGAAACCGUGUGGCUAGAGUCCGGAAGAGGAGAGUGGAAUUCCUGGUGUAGCGGUGAAAUGCGCAGAUAUCAGGAAGAACACCGUGGCGAAGGCGGGCU
rnacentral:rRNA from 1 species